rnacentral:rRNA from 1 species
GAUGAACGCUAGCUACAGGCUUAACACAUGCAAGUCGAGGGGAAACGAUAGAGAAAGCUUGCUUUUUCUAGGCGUCGACCGGCGCAUGGGUGAGUAACGCGUAUCCAACCUGCCCACCACUUGGGGAUAACCUUGCGAAAGUAAGACUAAUACCCAAUGAUAUCUCAAGAAGACAUCUGAAUGAGAUUAAAGAUUUAUCGGUGAUGGAUGGGGAUGCGUCUGAUUUGCUUGUUGGCGGGGUAACGGCCCACCAAGGCGACGAUCAGUAGGGGUUCUGAGAGGAAGGUCCCCCACAUUGGAACUGAGACACGGUCCAAACUCCUACGGGAGGCAGCAGUGAGGAAUAUUGGUCAAUGGGCGAGAGCCUGAACCAGCCAAGUAGCGUGCAGGAUGACGGCCCUAUGGGUUGUAAACUGCUUUUAUAAGGGAAUAAAGUGAGUCUCGUGAGACUUUUUGCAUGUACCUUAUGAAUAAGGACCGGCUAAUUCCGUGCCAGCCGCCGCCGUAA